rnacentral:tRNA from 1 species
AUUUAUAUAGUUUAAAGAAAACGUUACAUUUUCAUUGUAAAAAUAAAAUUUAUAUUUUUAUAAAUU